UACGUAGGGGGCUAGCGUUGUCCGGAAUCAUUGGGCGUAAAGCGCGUGUAGGCGGUUCGGUAAGUCCGCUGUGAAAGUCGGGGGCUCAACCCUCGGAUGCCGGUGGAUACUGUCGGGCUAGAGUACGGAAGAGGCGAGUGGAAUUCCUGGUGUAGCGGUGGAAUGCGCAGAUAUCAGGAGGAACACCAAUAGCGAAGGCAGCUCGCUGGGACGUUACUGACACUGAGGCGCGAAAGCGUGGGGAGCGAACAGG
rnacentral:rRNA from 1 species